rnacentral:lncRNA from 1 species
UUUAAAUUAUGUAAAUAUGUAAAGUUUUAAUUCAUAUGCUUCAAUCUAACUCUCUUUUGAACUCUGGAAGAGAUUAAAUGUGGUGUAAUUAUUAAUAAUUUUAUUUAUUUCUAGAUGAAAGCCAACCAGUUUCUCCAGAAGUUCGCUGUCCCCCAGUAUGCCCAGGCUGUUCCUCUUGCAGUCUAUCAACCUGUGGAAUCACAUUCAGGAAAACACCUACCCAUAUAUUCUAAUUUGGAGGAACUUGUAAGAUUCUUGAAUUAACUGCUGCAAUGUGAGCUUGGGUAUGACUAGAAAAAAAUUAUUCCUUUAUAAUUUCUUCGUCUAUCACAUCACCUCCUACUACCAAUAUAUUUUGGCAUGCUUCAUGAAAAGUCAAGAGUAUUGAGCCAAAAGAAGAUUGUGGAAUAUUUCCCAUAUUGGUUAUAAUCUUUUUAGUUUGUGUUAGAUAUGCCAGAUCUGGAUUGUGGCAUCAAAUUUACUGUACUGAUGAUUAAAUAAGGU